GGCGAACGCUGGCGGCGUGCUUAACACAUGCAAGUCGAACGGAAAGGCCCUGCUUUUGUGGGGUGCUCGAGUGGCGAACGGGUGAGUAACACGUGAGUAACCUGCCCUUGACUUUGGGAUAACUUCAGGAAACUGGGGCUAAUACCGGCUAGGAGCUCCUGCUGCAUGGUGGGGGUUGGAAAGUUUCGGCGGUUGGGGAUGGACUCGCGGCUUAUCAGCUUGUUGGUGGGGUAGUGGCUUACCAAGGCUUUGACGGGUAGCCGGCCUGAGAGGGUGACCGGCCACAUUGGGACUGAGAUACGGCCCAGACUCCUACGGGAGGCAGCAGUGGGGAAUAUUGCACAAUGGGCGGAAGCCUGAUGCAGCAACGCCGCGUGCGGGAUGACGGCCUUCGGGUUGUAAACCGCUUUCGCCUGUGACGAAGCGUGAGUGACGGUAAUGGGUAAAGAAGCACCGGCUAACUACGUG
rnacentral:rRNA from 1 species